GGAAGGAAACGCAGGUUAACACCGUUUUCUGUCCGAGUUCACAGAGGUGUUUGCAGCAGGCUUAGUUGCUUCCGCAGCUGGAACGAGGGUGCCUCUCCCGUGUGGCUCCCCUGAGCCGAGAGGCCCCUGAGGGUUUUUUCUCCACUGGGCUCUGGGGAUAGGGUUUCUGUGGAAAUGGCAGAUGGUGCACAUGAGCAGAGUCCUGCUAGAGAGGUCAGCUCAGCGUCCAGGAGGGGCUGCCAUCGGCAGAGUGCCUGCGCCCGAGGAGGCCACGGACGUGCCUGGGAAGGUGCUGCCCAAGCAGUCUGCUCUGAUGUGGCCGUACUUGGGCAUGCGGGCUCCCCAGAGGCCCAUGUGAGAAAGCCGGGGGUUCCCAGGCUGUGGGUGCAGAACGGGCCAGGCACCACUCUGCAGGGCCCACCCCCCUGCCCCCGCACCCUCACACCCAUCUUCCUCUCUCAGCCUGACCCCAGGGCCUGGGAGUCCCAGGCAGACAGGCCCUCCUUGCCCAGCAGUGGCCGCCCUUUAUGGACUGGGCGCCUGGCAGAGCCGCUGUGGAGGAGGAGUUGGUUGUCAUGGUCGGGGGAGGCAGCCCUUGGGCUGGGUGCCGUUGGUGGUCAAGGUUGAACCCAUAUCCGGUGGAAUCUCCUGGUCUGUUCCACACACAAUCGUGCGGGAAGCUCUGGGACCCAAAGGCUGUUCUGAUCUCGGGUUACAAGUUCUCACAGCAGCCUCGGGUCACCAGGGACUAGACCCAGCAUUAGGCUUUUUAGGAGCUGCCUGGCUGCUGGGCUGAGCUUCACUGCAGGCCCAGGAAGAUGACCAAGAAGGGCAGAGCAGAGCCCCGUCAGCCACUCCUUGGGCUGGAAGAGGCUUCCUCGGUAUGGAUGGCAGCUGUUAACAAGCAGUGGUGGUUUGGCCGGAGGCCUCUGUGGGGCACAGACAUGGCGUGAAGGAUGGCAGAUGGGUGUGCACGCUCGGGAGGACAGGCAGGUGGCAUAGGCCUGAGCAGGUGGCGUCGGCGCACGAGAAGGGUGUGUCUGAGACAGGAUGUUUAUCCCAAAGGCCAGGAGUGGACAAGGCGGACGAGUGGCCGUGAGGUAGGCAUGUGAGGUUGGCGUGUGAGGUUGGCUGGUCUGCUCUGCCACCCCAGAAACCCAGCGGCCUGGGCGUAGCACCCAGACACACGGAGUGAGCUCAUGCCCAGGCCGUGACCUGUCCCCGUCACGGGGCCGCUUGCUUCUCCCAGGCUUGGGAACAAGCCGGCACAGAACGCUGUGGCUGCAUUCACCGCUCAGGCACUUCAGCUGGGGAUUCACGAAGAGACAGACUUAGAAAGCGUUUAUUUGUUCCUGACGGGUGGGCCGAAGUUUGGGAGGAGCAUUCAGCUUCUUUGCAGAGCUCGGUCUCGCCUGUCCUGAGCACCCUGCGACCCCUGUUGCUAGCCUGGGGUGCUGAGGUCCUCGGCUCUGGGGGCGCUGGUCCCUGCUGCUUCUCACCAGGAGGCGCUGGCCUGCAGGGCCUUCGUGGUUUGCCGGAGACCCUUGUUCCAUCCCUUCCCAGCACCCACCCCCAGCCCGCUGUGCGUUCCGUAGUUCAUUUUCCAGGCAGGGGACGUGUGGUGAAAAUACAGCCUGGCUUUUUUUCUUUUCAACGAUGGCAGCCGCACUUUUCCUCGCUUGUUUUGAAGGCCGAGCCGGCGGCCUCCUCGGCAGUUGGGGACAGUUGCUUCCUCAGCUUCUGUGUGCCGACUGCCUCACCUGACACACAGCCUGGGCGUGAGAGAAGCCAACCAGGUGCCUGAGCUGACUGACUCCCUCCUCCCUCCCACCUCCUCCCUCCAACCUCCAGUCUCCUCUCUUCCUCCAUCCUCCUCCCUCCAGUCUCCUCCAUCCGCCCUCCUCCCUCCAACCUCCAACCUCCAGUCUCCUCUCUUCCACCAUCCGCCCUCCUCCCUCUGCCUUAUCUGGAAUCGGGGUCCUGGUCCUGGGCUAGAGGCAGACCCUGGCCUGGGAGAGGUUCUCAAGGCACUGCGGGAUGGGAGCGUCAUGAUGUCCUGAAGCUUGCCGCGCCCGGUGCUGUCAGCUGGCUGAAGGGAGAAACUGUCAGAGCACCCACAGCUAUGGAAGGUGACGUCUGAAAAUCUGUUAGGCACCUUGAUGUCAGGUUUCCAAGACCAAAGGCAAGAAUAGUCGGACCAAACUUAGGAAGAGUCAGAGAAACUGAGCGUGACCUAGAAGAGGCAGAUGGCCCUUCCCCUCCUCUCCUGCCGAGCAUUCUGUCGCACACACGACGUGAAAUCCACACUGCCCUGUGAAGACUGAGGGCAGGUCUUGGAUGUGCCGCCCUGACAUGGCCCAGGAGUGCCAGCAGCUUGGGGGCCACCACAGGCCCCAGGGCCUCUUUACUCCCACGGGUUCAGUGGAUGAAAAAACUUCCCGGGGAAGGAGUAAAGGACAAUCAAAAACUUGAACUGAAAAAGUAUGAAAAACAAACAUUUCAUUUCCCUCUGGUUCUCCCCACUAGGUCUGCAGUGCCUUGGGGGUGACUGAUGGCCCUCAGUGAGACCGGGUGGCCGUGUGGUUCUGAAAGUGAAAAGGAGCAAGUGUGGUUAGAGCCAGGGGCGUGGUUAGAGCCAGGGGCGUGGUUAGAGCCUGGAGUGUGGACACCCCGUGGACCGCUGGCCCAUGGCCUGGCUUGGGGCCUCACAGGGGAGCGAGUUGAGUGCAUGCGGGGAGGGCCCGUCAUUCUAUGAUGUGUAUCUUUUUUUGUUUUUGAGAUGGACUCGCUCUGUCGCCCAGGCUGGAGUGUAGUGGCAUGAUCUAGGCUCACUGCAACCUCCGCCUCCCAGGUUCAAGCGAUUCUCCUGCCUCAGCCUCCCAAGUAGCUGGGACUACAGGCACUUGCUACCACGCCUGGCAAAUUUUUGUAUUUGUUUUAGUAGAGAUGGGGUUUCACCAUGUUGGUUAGGCUGGUCUCGAUCUCCUGACCUUGUGAUCCACCCGCCUCGGCCUCCCAAAGUGCUGGGAUUACAGGCGUGAGCCACUGCGCCCAGCCCUGCCCAGCUUUUCUGCGUCACCACCAUCAUGUCAGUUAGCUUGGCUCAGGCUUUGCACACAUAAUCUGUAUCUUUGGGAAUCCUGUGAGUUAAUGGUUCUAGAUCCAAAAGAAUGGAUAAAGAAUGUUUCAAGUUCCCGAAAUUAUCCAGGCACAUCCUGUGCGCUACUGAACUUCAGAAAGCACCAGUCCAUCCAGUGUGCAGAGUCUGGUAAACGGGCCAGCCGUGGGCACACACAGGCUCCCCAUGGUAAACGGGCCAGCCGUGGGCACACACAGGCUCCCCAGAGGCCCCGGGGCAGACGGUCUUUUCCAGCUCUUCCAGGGCGGGGCUAAUCUGUUCCUGGGCCAGGGGUGGAUCUGUUUUGCAGGUUUGCAAGGGUGGGGAGAUGCCAGCCUGGCCCAUGGGCUGUCCAUGCCCACCCCCCCCAGACCAUGCUGCCAUCCGGAGGGGAUGCCACUUUCUCCUGGCCUCUGGGAUGCACAGGUAAAGCAUGGAAGAAGCUGUUGGGGAGGAAAAUGGCUCUCACCAGUCUGCUCUCGGGCUAAUGAAAACUCAUCCAAUUCUCCAUGCAGCAGCAGCCAACCCGGCACACGCUGCCCUGCCCUGCCCAACUGUGGAGGGGAGCAGGUCCCCCGGGCCUGGGCGGAAGGACUGAGCGCCUGUCAGGGAAGGCCGAGACUCCAGACAGGUGGGAAGCAGCCUUCUUAAUCACCCCAUGUGGAAACCAAUUCAAGGUUCGAUUCUCUCAGACCCGGGGCAUUUUAGCCUUGGUUGAAUCCUCCUGGAAUUCACAGGGAAGUGGCUUUGCCCUCUGCCCUUGCUGCUGGAAGGCAAGGGGCCGGCUUGGUUUUCUAGGUUGUGUUACGGCAGCAGCUGACGGUCCCUAGGCCUGGAUCCACACGGCUUCGCUCAGGGACACCUGCCUCCAUGCUUGUCUCAUGGUGUGAACGUGUCUCCUGCUCACAGGUACCAUUUUGUGUCAUGCAGUUACUGGAAUGUACAAAAGCAGCUGUGAUGUUUGCAAAGAGUUGCAGACAAUUACAAAACCCAUCUCCCUGCAUGGGUGAUGGCAAGAGCUGCAAAGAGCAGGAGUCUUUAUUUGGUUCACUUCCGGUCUGCAGCAACCACUUGAUAUUAAAAAACGGAAAAGAUAUACAAAAAGAUGUCACAUCCCUUUAGAAAGCGACAUCAUCAGAAACGUAUGUGACCUUCAGUCCUCCCUCCCUCUCCUGUGCCCCCCAGACCAGGCUGCGAGAAGGAACGGGGAGUGAACAUAUAACGGAAAACAAUAAAACUGAAUUUAACUGGAACAUGCUCUAAUCUUUAGUUUAUUUCUGGUUAAAAAUAUAGCAAUCCAGUGCAGUGUAGUAAAGAAGUCUGCUCGAAAGGUAGCAGAGAAACAGCUAAACAUAAGCAAAGCAAGGCAGAGUCCAUAAGACAGGCUGGCCCCAAGGCGACCGGAUGGGGAAUCCCUGCAGUGCCUCCCUGGGCACAGGAGUCCUGCGCGUGGCCGUGCCUGGACCCCUCAGGCACGUCCAUGCACACAAGGGCCGGGGGCACUCGGACAUCCUGGCAAACCUUGUUCUUUUGUUUGGGUGAUGGAGUGACCCUGGUGGAGAAGGCAGAAACAUAAGGAACCUGUUUUUGUUGGACUGAAACAAGUUACAUUGUACAUUUUGGGGGGUUGGAUAUGCUACAAUUUCUCAGGAAGUUUCAAGCCACUGGGUUUGAACCGCAUUCCUGUCUUGGGCCCAGGCCCACUCUGGUGUAGCACUGAGGCAUCUGGAAGGAAUAUGCAUAUCUGUUAGGGGAAGUUGAGGCAGGCACAGUACAAAGAUGUGAAAACCCGUGGAGGUAACCAUGGGAGAAGGCUUCCUUUAGGGCCCUUACUCCUGGGGACACGGAAGCCCAUGCGUCCACCCUGCACACCAAGUGCACACACCCAGAGCCCCGGCUCGAGGCUGACUCCACGGCACAGCCCCUCGGCUUCCGUGCUUCGCUGAGCCCAGGCAGACUGGAGUGGGCCCCGGCUUCCCUGGGGUCUGGUGGGGGAAACGGCCGAAUGGGGCCCACGGUGAGUGGGCAGCAGAAGAAAAGGGCUUUGCUUUAAAACUCGGUGUGGGGAGUCGGCUUCUCACGGAAGGCCGGGGGCAGUGCCGAGAAGAGGGAAGGACCUGCAUCCGUCUCACGGGGAGGAGGUGGCCGACCCCUCCCCUCCCUCCGGUGUGCAGCACAGCUCUCACACAGAACCCGGCCGGGCUACUGCCCGCUGGGGUGGGCCACCCUGCCCCACGCCUCCCGCCCGUACUCGUCACCCGUCUGUUCUAGACUGAGGAAGCAGUGAAUCCACUUUUCCAAGCUCAUGUCGGCGGGAGCCAGCCCUGCUGCUCAGGGGUGCGGGGCUGGGGCUCCGCCCCGGGCUGCCCUCCGUCCACACCCAAGGAGGGACAUGUGACCACGAGGACGACGUCCACUGUUACCACUGAUGUGCCGGGAUCCCUUCUGCUUCCACGUGGAGCUGGAGGGGCUGCGUGCUGGCCUCCUUCUGCCAUGCCACACAGCAGAGUGUUAUACAAGCAAAGAAUUUUGGCUAAAAUCCAAAAAACAUUACCCAGAAAAAAAGGCAAACUGUGAGUGAUACCCAAUCACGUGGUUCUUCUGUGAGAGGACUUGGGAGCCGCGGGGCUGUCCGAGCUGCGGUCUUUCCCUUCUUGUGGUUUUGCUUUUAAUGUCCCCUUUUCCUACCCUUUCUCUAUUUUUGCUACCGCGACAGU